GACGAACGCUGGCGGCGCGCUUAACACAUGCAAGUCGAACGGAAAGGCCUGCUUUCCCUUGUGGAUUGCGGGUACUCGAGUGGCGAACGGGUGAGUAACACGUGAGUGAUCUGCCCCCAACUUGGGUAUAAGCCUGGGAAACUGGGUCUAAUUCCCGAUAGGACUGCAGGGUGGUGCCUGUGGUGGAAAACGAUUUUCUAGUGGUUGGGGAUGAGCUCGCGGCCUAUCAGCUUGUUGGUGGGGUAAUGGCCUACCAAGGCGGCGACGGGUAGCCGGCCUGAGAGGGUGGACGGCCACAUUGGGACUGAGAUACGGCCCAGACUCCUACGGGAGGCAGCAGUUGGGAAUAUUGCACAAUGGGCGGAAGCCUGAUGCAGCGACGCCGCGUGGGGGAUGACGGCCUUCGGGUUGUAAACUCCUUUCGACCGCGAGGAAGCCACCUGGUUGGAAGGGUGGUGACGGUAGUGGUAGAAGAAGCACCGGCUAACUACGUG
rnacentral:rRNA from 1 species